rnacentral:rRNA from 1 species
CAACUUUCAGCAACGGAUCUCUUGACUCUCGCAUCGAUGAAGAACGCAGCGAAAUGCGAUAAGUAAUGUGAAUUGCAGAAUUCAGUGAAUCAUCGAAUCUUUGAACGCACCUUGCACUCCUUGGUAUUCCGAGGAGUAUGCCUGUUUGAGUGUCAUU